UACGUAGGGUGCAAGCGUUGUCCGGAAUUAUUGGGCGUAAAGAGCUCGUAGGCGGUUUGUUGCGUCGGCUGUGAAAUCCCGAGGCUCAACCUCGGGUCUGCAGUCGAUACGAGCAAACUAGAGUGUUGCAGGGGAGACUGGAAUUCCUGGUGUAGCGGUGAAAUGCGUAGAUAUCGAGAGGAACACCUGCGGCGAAGGCGGGUUGCUGGGCUGACACUGACGCUGAAGCGCGAAAGCUAGGGGAGCGAACGGG
rnacentral:rRNA from 1 species